rnacentral:rRNA from 1 species
GCUAGCGGCGCGCUUAAUGCAUGCAAGUCGAGCGAUGAGGCUCCUACGGGAGUACAUCAGCGGCAGACGGGUGAGUAACACGUAGGUGACCUGCCCCAAAGACGAGGAUAACGGCUGGAAACAGUCGCUAAUACUCGAUAGUCUUGUGGAGUCGCAUCCACAAGUAAAGGUUCCGGCGCUUUGGGAGGGGCCUGCGGCCUAUCAGCUAGUUGGUGAGGUAACGGCUCACCAAGGCGAAGACGGGUAGGGGG